GAUGAACGCUGGCGGCGUGCUUAACACAUGCAAGUCGAACGGAAAGGCCAGUGCUUGCACUGGUACUCGAGUGGCGAACGGGUGAGUAACACGUGGGUGAUCUGCCCUGCACUUCGGGAUAAGCCUGGGAAACUGGGUCUAAUACCGGAUAGGACAAUGGUUUGGAUGCCGGUGUGGAAAGUGUUUUCGGGGUGGGGUGAGCUCGCGGCCUAUCAGCGUGUUGGUGGGGUAAUGGCCUACCAAGGCGUCGACGGGUAGCCGGCCUGUGAGGGGGUACGGCGACAUAGUGAGUGAGAGAUGGGCCAGAGUCCUACGGGGGGGAGCAAUGGGGAAUAUGGUACAAUGGGCGCGAGCCUGAGGCAGCGACGCCGCGUGGGGGAUGACGGCCUUCGGGUUGUAAACUCCUUUCGCUAGGGACGAGGCGUAUUUGUGACGGUACCUGGAGAAGGAGCACCGGCUAACUACGUG
rnacentral:rRNA from 1 species